GAUGAACGCUGGCGGCGUGCUUAACACAUGCAAGUCGAACGAUGAAGCCCAGCCUGCUGGGCGGAUUAGUGGCGAACGGGUGAGUAACACGUGAGUAACCUGCCCUUGACUCUGGGUAAGCCCGGGAAACUGGGUCUAAUACCGGAUAGGAGCGCCUGUCGCAUGACGGGUGCUGGAAAGAUUUUUCGGUCAUGGAUGGACUCGCGGCCUAUCAGCUUGUUGGUGAGGUAACGGCUCACCAAGGCGACGACGGGUAGCCGGCCUGAGAGGGUGACCGGCCACACUGGGACUGAGACACGGCCCAGACUCCUACGGGAGGCAGCAGUGGGGAAUAUUGCACAAUGGGCGGAAGCCUGAUGCAGCGACGCCGCGUGAGGGAUGACGGCCUUCGGGUUGUAAACCUCUU
rnacentral:rRNA from 1 species